GACGAACGCUGGCGGCGUGCUUAACACAUGCAAGUCGAACGGUAAGGCCCCUUCGGGGGUACACGAGUGGCGAACGGGUGCGUAACACGUGAGCAACCUGCCCUUGACUCUGGAAUAACAGUUGGAAACAGCUGCUAAUACUGGAUAUUCAUCGUCUCCUUCCUGGGGGGUGGUGGAAAGCUCCGGCGGUCAGGGAUGGGCUCGCGGCCUAUCAGCUUGUUGGUGAGGUAAUGGCUCACCAAGGCUUCGACGGGUAGCCGGCCUGAGAGGGCGACCGGCCACACUGGGACUGAGAUACGGCCCAGACUCCUACGGGAGGCAGCAGUGGGGAAUAUUGCACAGUGGGCGCAAGCCUGAUGCAGCAACGCCGCGUGCGGGAUGACGGCCUUCGGGUUGUAAACCGCUUUCAGUAGGGACGAAGGGUGACUGACGGUACCUACAGAAGAAGGACCGGCUAACUACGUG
rnacentral:rRNA from 1 species